AGCAGCCGCGGUAAUUCCAGCUCCAAUAGCGUAUAUUAAAGUUGUUGCAGUUAAAAAGCUCGUAGUUGAAUUUCGGGAUUGGCUCAUCGGUCGUGCCCUACGGGGUAUGAACUGGUGCAGUCAAUUUCUCACCUUCUGGAGAACCGCGAUGUCCUUAAUUGGGUGCCGCGGGGAACCAGGACCUUUACUUUAAAAAAUUAGAGUGUUUAAAGCAGGCAUUUUUGCUUGAAUACAUUAGCAUGGAAUAAUAAAAUAGGACGGCAUGGUUCUAUUUUGUUGGUUUCUAGGACCACCGUAAUGAUUAAUAGGGAUAGUUGGGGGCAUUAGUAUUCAAUUGUCAGAGGUGAAAUUCUUGGAUUUAUUGAAGACUAACUACUGCGAAAGCAUUUGCCAAGGAUGUUUUCAUUAAUCAAGAACGAAAGUUAGGGGAUCGAAGACGAUCAGAUACCG
rnacentral:rRNA from 1 species